GCCCCUGUAGCUCAGUUGGUCAGAGCAGUCGGCUCAUAACCGAUUGGUCGGAGGUUCAAGUCCUCCCGGGGGCA
rnacentral:tRNA from 1 species